GGGCGGGUGGAGGAGAGGGCUUCAGGAGUUCUGAGGUUGGUGGUCGGUGAGGGUUGAUGUCCGCGGCUGCCAAGGUUCCACCGCCCUAGGAGUCAGACCUAGUUUACAGUCCAGCAUCGCCAAGUGGCAGAUGUGUGAUCUUUUGCAGAUUACUAAUACAUUUUUUAAAAUAUUUACUUACUUAUUUUUUAGUUGUAGACGGACACAAUACCUUUACUUUAUUUAUUUAUUUUUAUGUGGUGCUGAGGAUCAAACCCAGGGCCCCGCACGUUCUAGGCGAGUGCCCUGCCGCAGAGCCACAACCCCAGCCCAGAUUACUAACACAUUUAAGUCUCAGUUUCUUCAUCUGUAAAAGGAGAUUGAAAUCACCUCCCCGCCCCCAGAAUUGCUGUAAAAGAAAAAUAAUGCCUUAAAGUUUUUAGCACAGUGCUUAGCACCUGUGAGUUCUAAGUAAAUGGAAACUCAGAGUGAUAAUGAAGAUGACUCCCGGUGGUCUUUCUACUUUGGACCACUGGAAGACGGCAGGAGCCUUGGAAGGAGAAAGGAGAACCCGCAAAGCAUGGGACCUGAUGGAGGAGACAGCAGAUGGCAAGAAGGAGGGAGUUCAGGCAGGACGCUGAGUUUACCUUAAUGUGCUAAGGAUGGAAGCCAGGGCUGGCUGUGCAUAUUAAGCAUGUGCUGUACCACGAGCAACAACCCCGGUCCCCAGUUCAGGUCUUUCUUGAAUUUCGAGUUUUCGAACCAGCAGAGUGAGUGAGUGCAAAUAGCACUGGAUUGGGGUUCAGAUCCAGGCUGACCCUUAAAGGGCAAAAUUGUGGACUUUCUGAGUCUCACGUGCUGCUUUUGUCAAUGUUGGGGGGGGGGCCCUGCAAAGUUCCUUGAUGGUUUAAGGUUCUGCAGACACAGAUGUCUACUCUCUGGCUCUCACCCUGUUCUCCACAAUGGCUUGGCUGUACUUUCCGAAGAGGAGUUCCAAGGAGGCCUGAAUGAAUGAUUUCAUGCCAAUCAUAGGCAAGUACUCAUAGUUCAGAGAGGGAUCCUGUGCAAUCUGCAGUCGGGUCUUGUUUACCACCAGAGAAACCCAGGGUUGGCCUUCAUUGGUCAUGCAGACUGUGAAGGAAGCGACAGAGGGAGCUCUGAUGUCCAGUCUUGGAGCCUACAAGUGUGGGCUUUGCAGACAACCCACAAACAGUAAGUCUGUUCUGGGUUUCUUGGGGCUUUGGAAAGUUGCCUAUGAAAAGAUAUUCCCCACCAUCACCUUUAUUUUUUCUUCAUAUAAACAAUGUGCUGUUAGCAGAUGUGUCUAAAUUUUGUCCUCCUCUUUAAAAAAAAAAAAGACAACCAAAACUAUGACAUUUUAGAGAUUAAAAUUGUAUACUCGGUUCAAGUUAUGGAUACACAACACUAAACCAAGGCAACCUUGACUUUCACAGUUCCAAGGGCUGAUUGCAUAUCAGAAGGGUCAAUUUGGGGAAUAAGAAAGAAAGAAGAGGAGAAGGAAAGAAGAGCAUGAGGAGGAGGAAGAGAAGGUAGCAGUUGAAGAGAGUCCAAAGUAUAGAACUGUACAAGAGGCCCUGACUAUUUCCUAGAAGGUCCCAGAGAAGAGCAGAGGGCAUGGAAUGACUUGGGACCUUCUCUGCCCUUUUCCCCACUGGGCAAUUCUGUUAAAAAGUAAAGACCUUUCCACCUGCAAAGGCUUGGGCCAUCCUCCAUCCUCUGUAGCAGUGAAAUCCUGCUGUAUCUAUAUUAAGUCUCCAACUCUAAAACUACCAGCAUCUACCUUUGUAGGCCAGGAACAUCUUGUCAGGGUAAUCGUCUUGUUUGUAGGUCUUUAACAAGGUGCCUUCCAGCUUGUGCAUCAUAGGCACGUCCAUGAACACUGAAAGGGUGGGCAUAACUAAAAUGAAAGGGAAGCCCAGGCUCUGAGCCUGAACCCCUGCUCUUCCCCAAGGCCUGGGCCAGACAGUCCUCACUCUUCCCAGACCCUGGCAGCUCCAAUACAGAGACUAUGGACAGCUGGUUGCCAAGCAACAGAACCUCACAACUCCCAGCCUCCACCAGGGCAACACUCAAGGGCCACGGGAACAUUCCAUGGCACUUGAGGAGAAUCCCCUGGGAGAGUUGGCAGAGGGAAGGGGCAGGGAAGGACAUGGAAUUCCCAGGCACUUUUCUCUAACGCACUGCCUUCUCUCUAGCCCCCAAGUCAUCCAAUCCAAAAUACCAAGUCAGCUGUUUAGAAAAUAGGACAAGGUUGGAGACCCAUGAACCAGAGGACCAAAGAUGUGUUACUGGCACAAACCCAGAGGUACUGAAAACACUGAGAAGAUUCAAGGACCAGAUCUUGAUGUCCAGCCUUGGUUAUGGGGCAAACAAGAAAGCAAAGCUCAUGCCACCAAGUGGCUUCUGGAAGUUCCUGAUCUGCAAUGGCAAGAGCUGGAAGUGCUGCUGAUGUGCAGCAAACCUUACUGUACUGAGAUUGCUCACAAUGUUUCCUCCAAGAACCACAAAGCAUCAUGGGAAGAGCAGCCCAGCUGGCUGUCAGUCACCAAUCCUGACUUCAGACUGUGCAGUGAAGAAAAUGAAUAGAGAGUUCAUGUGCACUUUGUGUGUGUGUGUGUGUGUGUGCACAUGUGUGUGUGCACAUGUGCAUGCUUAGAUAAAACCACAAUAACUCCCAUCUGGCAUUUUCAAAAUACGUAUAUUCAUAUAUACCUAUAUCUCAAAUUUAUAUAUCCAGUCCCAACUUCUCGCCUGACCUAUAAACUGAAAAAUCCAGUGCUCAUUUGAUAUUCCAAUAAAUAACUAAUAGAUUCUCCAAAUAUACUGUGUCCAAAAACUAACUCAUAGCUUCAUAUCCCCACGCUGAGCCUGCUCUUAUUACAUUUUCCCCAUUUUGUAAAUGGCAAAUUCAUUCUGCCAAAUGCUGAGGCUGAAAAUCUUACGCUUACCCUUAACAUCUCUCUUUUUCUCUUAUACCCUAUGUAUUAGUUUUCCACAACUAAAUGAAAUACCUGAGGCUGGUUAACUUGAUAAAGAACAAAAGGUUUAUUUAGUUCACAGUUAUGGAGGUUCAAGGGCUCAGCUCCGGAAUAAACUUGGCUCUGGUGAAGACCUUAUAGGAAUGACAUCACAAUGUCAGGAGUGCAUAUGAGAAGAGGUCACAUUGCAAGACACAAGCCAGAACACAGGGAGGGGUCAGUAACAACUGAGCUCUCUGAAAACUAACUCAGGGUUCCAUGAGAAUGAUGUUAAUCUCUUCUAAGAGCAGUACCCCCAUUUGCUUAAACACCUCCCACUAGGAUCCACUUCUUAAAGGUUCCAUUUCCCCCACACUGGAGACCAAGUUUCCACUAUGUGAACCCUUAGAAACAUAUUCAAACCAUAUUCAAAUAAUUACAUCCUACAUUUAAGACUUCAGCAAAUUAUCUUAGAAUUGAACCUUGUAGCAUAUUUAAUAUGUGUGUCUCUUUACUCAAUAAAAAUUUACUGCUGGAGCUGGGGAUAUAGCUCCAUUGGUAGAGUGCCUGCCUCACAUGCAUAAGGCCUUGGGUUCAAUCCCUAACAUAAAAAAUAUAUAAAUAUUUAUUUAUUUAUUUAUUCAUUCAUUCAUUCAUUCAUUCCUGGGAUGGAUGGAUGAGCAGAGGGUACAAUCUGUUAUAUGUAAAGAUGACAGGAGCACAAUGUAGGAAAAAUAAAAACUUGACAAUUUCCUUGGUGGAUUUAAGUAUGAUUGAAACAGAGGUAUAUGGGGGUGGGGAUGGUAAGAAAUCAAGUCAGGAAGGUAGGCUCUGUCCAUGUUAUUUUAAGAAUGAGAAUAACAUGAUUGGACUUAUGUUUUAGAAAUUCCUUCUGGGAGCUCAUGGAGAUUGAAGAGGAGCCUAUUUGGUUAACUGGGUUAAGAACUGAGGAAGGCCUGAGCUAAGGCACUGGCUGAGGAGUAGAAUUGACAGAUGUCCUCCAUAAAAAUACCAGGCACCAUCCCAAGCCUUUUGGGAGAGAUGCAAGCAGGCAGAGGUGGUUUUGAAAAAUAUCUUAAUUUAAACAAUAUCUUUUUUAAAAUUUAAACAAUAUCUUAUGUAUCCAAAAGUCCACUCAUUUUGUGCAACUUUUCUGCCUCCUUAGUCUUCUUUUUAAGAAACAUGAUUUUUUCAUUAUAGCAAUUUGCAAAAAUGUUAGAGAGAAGCAUGGGCAAGGCUUUAAAAAUGGUUCUGGUGUAAGAUCAGAAGCUCUAACAAGAGACUCCCAAAGUCAAUACCAGAUAGCGAGCAAUCCUGCCCUAUGACUAACCAAGGAGAUGGUUCGUAAGAGUGGCUUAGGGGUAAAUGCUGAGGGUUUUGGUUUUGUUUGUUGUUUGUUUGUGAAUGUGUUUGUUUUUGUGCUGCUGGGGACAGAACCCAGGGCCUCACGCCUGCUAGGCAUGGGCUCUACCACUGAGCCACACCUACAGCCCCAAGCUCUGAGUCUCUAGGGUGCUAGAGCAGUGAAGUUCACCCACAGCCCCGUGUGUUUCCCCUCCCCCCAAAGGUAGGAAUUUCUCCUACGGAAAAGCAGCUUCCUGUACUUCCCUCAUUCUCCCAGCAGGUCUGGGAGAGAGUUCUAACAUCUAUUAGAUUCAGACUUGAUCCCUGGGGAGGCCCUAGGAGGAAGGGCUUGCUCACGUGAUCCCACAAUGAGAAACCAGAGAUCAGCACUGAGCAGGUGCAAAGCUGUCCCAAGCCCAGUUCUUUCUUCUCUGGGAAGAAGUGACCCAUCCUUCCUCCCUUUGGGGUUUUGGACCUCUAGCUCCUAAAUUUCUUAAGAUGUAUGUGAGGGCUAAGGAAUUAUGGGAUGACUGGUCAUUCUCUCAGAAGCAAAGGAUGGCUAGGGAACAUUAGAUCACAGCAGGGGGACCUUCCUGAGCUUACAGUCCUGUUGUGUUUGGGGUUCUGAUGGGAAAUCUUUAAAAACAUUGCCAGAGAAGAAGUGCUGGAAAGAGCAGCCUCCAGCGGAAUUGUGCAGUGAGUCUGUAUUUAUUUUCUAUUGUGUGUAAUAAAGCACCACACAUGUGGCAGCUCAGAAGAACACAAAUUUAUUAACCUUGCGGUUUCCUUGUGUCAGGAGCCCAGGUGUGGGUUAGCUGGAUCUUCUGCUCCAAGGUCUCGACAGAAUGCAGUCAAGAUGUUGGGUAAGGCUAUGGUCUCACCCAAGGCUCAAGAUCUUUUUCUAAGCUCCUGUGGCUUCUGGCAGAACCUAUCCCUAACUUUGUACAACUCAUGGUAGCUAUCUUCCUGGAAGCCAGCAAGAGUCUGUCUCUGACUUCUUCAGUCUUUGACCUCUCAGCUGUCUUUUAAAUGGCUGGCCUGAUUAGGCUCAACCAGAAUCAUCUCUCUCUUUACUAAGUCAAUUGACUAGGGACCUUAAUUACAUCUUAAAAAUCCCUUCUUUAUGCCAUAUAACAACAUAACUGCAGGAGAAGAUUCUUGGAACAUUCAUUAUAUUCUAUGAGCUAGAAGUAAUUUAUAGGUCCACCCACAUUCAGUGGGAAAGGAGUAUAUAGAUCAUGGGCCAUUGGGAUUCAUCUCAGGCAGGUUUCUGCCUGCCAUAGAGUCCAAGAGCUUCUGGAGAGAACAGUCCUUCCUUGAAAAGUGAUCGCAGUGGAUGAUCAUUUUUUGAGAUCAAAAAUCUCACUUAAAGGGCUCACAGACGUCUCACGGGAGUAAGUUAGAUGGUGCCACCCCAAAUAGAUAGGCCUACCUAAAAUCUCAGAAUGUGACCUUAUAUUAA